CCUACGGGUGGCAGCAGUGAGGAAUAUUGGUCAAUGGACGAGAGUCUGAACCAGCCAAGUAGCGUGAAGGAUGACUGCCCUAUGGGUUGUAAACUUCUUUUAUAUGGGAAUAAAAUGUUCCACGUGUGGGAUUUUGUAUGUACCUUAUGAAUAAGGAUCGGCUAACUCCGUGCCAGCAGCCGCGGUAAUACGGAGGAUCCGAGCGUUAUCCGGAUUUAUUGGGUUUAAAGGGAGCGUAGGUGGCUUGUUAAGUCAGUUGUGAAAGUUUGCGGCUCAACCGUAAAAUUGCAGUUGAUACUGGCAGUCUUGAGUACAGUAGAGGUUGGCGGAAUUCGUGGUGUAGCGGUGAAAUGCUUAGAUAUCACGAAGAACUCCGAUUGCGAAGGCAGUUCACUGGACUGCAACUGACACUGAGGCUCGAAAGUGUGGGUAUCAAACAGGAUUAGAUACCCUUGUAGUC
rnacentral:rRNA from 1 species